GACGAACGCUGGCGGCGUGCUUAACACAUGCAAGUCGAACGGAAAGGCCCCUUUGGGGGUACUCGAGUGUCGAACGGGUGAGUAACACGUGAGUAACCUGCCCUUGACUUCGGGAUAACUUCAGUAAACUGGGGCUAAUACCGGAUAGGAAUCCUUGCUGCAUGGUGGGGGUUGGAAAGCUUCGGCGGUUUUGGAUGGACUCGCUGCUUAUCAGCUUGUUGGUGGGGUAGUGGCUUACCAAGGCUUUGACGGGUAGCCGGCCUGAGAGGGCGACCGGCCACAUUGGGACUGAGAUACGGCCCAGACUCCUACGGGAGGCAGCAGUGGGGAAUAUUGCACAAUGGGCGGAAGCCUGAUGCAGCAACGCCGCGUGCGGGAUGACGGCCUUCGGGUUGUAAACCGCGUUCAGCAGGGGCGAAGCUUGUGGUGACGGUACCUGCAGAAGAAGCACCGGCUAACUACGUG
rnacentral:rRNA from 1 species